UUGAACGCUGGCGGUAUGCUUAACACAUGCAAGUCGAACGGAAACGAUACUAGCUUGCUAGUAGGCGUCGAGUGGCGGACGGGUGAGUAACGCGUAGGAAUCUGCCUGAUAGUGGGGGAUAGCCCGAAGAAAUUCGGAUUAAUACCGCAUAAUCUAUUCGUAGUAAAGUGGGGGACUUUCGAGCCUCACGCUAUCAGAUGAGCCUGCGUAAGAUUAGCUUGUUGGUAGGGUAAAAGCCUACCAAGGCGACGAUCUUUAGCUGGUCUGAGAGGAUGAUCAGCCACAUCGGGACUGAGACACGGCCCGAACUCCUACGGGAGGCAGCAGUGGGGAAUAUUGGACAAUGGGGGCAACCCUGAUCCAGCAAUACCGCGUGUGUGAAGAAGGCCUGAGGGUUGUAAAGCACUUUCAAUUGUGAAGAAAAGUUAGCGGUUAAUAACCGUUAGCCUUGACGUUAACUUUAGAAGAAGCACCGGCUAACUCCGUGCCAGCAGCCGCGGUAAUACGGAGGGUGCAAGCGUUAAUCGGAAUUACUGGGCGUAAAGCGUGCGUAGGCGGUUUAUUAAGUCAGAUGUGAAAGCCCCGGGCUUAACCUGGGAACUGCAUUUGAAACUGGUCAACUAGAGUAUGGUAGAGGAAAGUGGAAUUUCUGGUGUAGCGGUGAAAUGCGUAGAUAUCAGAAGGAACAUCAAUGGCGAAGGCAGCUUUCUGGACCAAUACUGACGCUGAGGUACGAAAGCGUGGGUAGCAAACAGGAUUAGAUACCCUGGUAGUCCACGCCGUAAACGAUGAUAACUAGCCGUUGGGGGGAUUUACCCCUUAGUGGCGAAGCUAACGCGUUAAGUUAUCCGCCUGGGGAGUACGGCCGCAAGGUUAAAACUCAAAGGAAUUGACGGGGACCCGCACAAGCGGUGGAGCAUGUGGUUUAAUUCGAUGCAACGCGAAGAACCUUACCUGGUCUUGACAUCCUGCGAACUUUCUAGAAAUAGAUUGGUGCCUUCGGGAACGCAGUGACAGGUGCUGCAUGGCUGUCGUCAGCUCGUGUCGUGAGAUGUUGGGUUAAGUCCCGUAACGAGCGCAACCCCUAUCCUUAUUUGCCAGCACAUCAUGGUGGGAACUAUAAGGAGACUGCCGGUGAUAAACCGGAGGAAGGCGGGGACGACGUCAAGUCAUCAUGGCCCUUACGACCAGGGCUACACACGUGCUACAAUGGGAAGGACAAAGAGCCGCGAAGCCGCGAGGUGUAGCUAAUCUCAUAAACCUUUUCGUAGUCCGGAUUGGAGUCUGCAACUCGACUCCAUGAAGUCGGAAUCGCUAGUAAUCGUAGAUCAGAAUGCUACGGUGAAUACGUUCCCGGGUCUUGUACUCACCGCC
rnacentral:rRNA from 1 species